rnacentral:rRNA from 1 species
UGAGGAAUUUUGGACAAUGGGCGAAAGCCUGAUCCAGCAAUGCCGCGUGUGUGAAGAAGGCCUUCGGGUUGUAAAGCACUUUUGUCCGGAAAGAAAUCCUUGGCUCUAAUACAGUCGGGGGAUGACGGUACCGGAAGAAUAAGCACCGGCUAACUACGUGCCAGCAGCCGCGGUAAUACGUAGGGUGCAAGCGUUAAUCGGAAUUACUGGGCGUAAAGCGUGCGCAGGCGGUUUGCUAAAACCGAUGUGAAAUCCCCGGGCUCAACCUGGGAACUGCAUUGGUGACUGGCAGGCUAGAGUAUGGCAGAGGGGGGUAGAAUUCCACGUGUAGCAGUGAAAUGCGUAGAGAUGUGGAGGAAUACCGAUGGCGAAGGCAGCCCCCUGGGCCAAUACUGACGCUCAUGCACGAAAGCGUGGGGAGCAAACAGGAUUAGAUACCCUGGUAGUCCACGCCCUAAACGAUGUCAACUAGUUGUUGGGGAUUCAUUUCCUUAGUAACGUAGCUAACGCGUGAAGUUGACCGCCUGGGGAGUACGGUCGCAAGAUUAAAACUCAAAUGAAUUGACGGGGUCAUAGCUG